GCCCGUUUAGCUCAGUUGGCAGAGCGCAAGGCUCUUAACUUUGUGGUCCUGGGUUCGAGCCCCAGGGUGGUCG
rfam:Ipomoea nil DNA, scaffold: scaffold1868, cultivar: Tokyo-kokei standard.